rnacentral:sRNA from 2 species
AAUUACCAGUGGCCGAAUCCCCGGGAAGUCCGGGGUACGGGGGAAUUUUAUCCGGAGCGGGGUGAAUCCGCGCGUUAUUAAGGAGGUGAAAACAAGACGCGCGGUAGGGUGCCCUCUACCCGAACCCAUCAACUAACCCCGGAGGCCGGAGGAGGGAAAAA